CGUGAAGAAAAGUUGAAAAGUACUUUGAAGAGUUAACGAGUACGUGAAACCGUUCAGAGGUAAACCUAAGAAACCCAAAAAAUCGAACGGGGAGAUUCAUCGUCAACGAAACUGGCUUCGCGUCGGUGGGCGAUAACCCCGCGGUGUGUCCUAAGCGGCACGCGCGUGCGCGCACGGUACCGAACGCCGAUGUCCGGUUUUCGUCGUCGUGCACUUCUCUCCUAGUAGAACGUCGCGACUCGCUGUGUGUCGGUCACCGACCCGGGUGCGGUUACUG
rnacentral:rRNA from 1 species